rnacentral:rRNA from 1 species
UACGGGGGGUGCAAGCGUUAAUCGGAAUUACUGGGCGUAAAGGGUGCGUAGGUGGUUUGGUAAGUUAGCUGUGAAAUUCCUGGGCUUAACCUGGGACGGUCAGCUAAGACUGCUGAACUCGAGUAUAGGAGAGGGUAGUGGAAUUUCCGGUGUAGCGGUGAAAUGCGUAGAGAUCGGAAGGAACACCAGUGGCGAAGGCGGCUACCUGGCCAGAUACUGACACUGAGGCACGAAAGCGUGGGGAGCAAACAGG